UUAUUUUCUAUCCGGGAUCUGGAAGCUGUGCGUGUUCGGCGCUCAGUGUCAGCGUUGUGUGAACCCGAAGCUAAGAGUUUGAGGCCUAGCGCGAGGCCAGUAGAGGACCGUGUGGAAAAUUCGCGUUAGCGGUACAGCGGUAUGGAGUUCCCGCAACACCAGAAGCCGCCGGGGGACGGCAAGAUCAUUUACCCGCCCGGAGUGAAGGAGAUCACGGACAAAAUCAGCAACGAUGAAGUGGUGAAACGGUUAAAG
ensembl:lncRNA